AUGUUUGCAUUUUCCCCUGUAAUAAACUCUCCUGCCUUGGUUCUCCCUUUUGCCUAUUUAUAGACAAGGACUCUUUCUCAAACCUUGCCUCGAAGUGGAAACCCUGGCUACAUUGUUGGAGCACCAUUGUUGAUUACAAAUGAUGGUGCCAGGCAGCAUAUGACCAUUUUACAAAGCCAAGGUGAUGGAAGUUGCUCACAGUUCCUCAGGCAGAAAGUACGGUUUGGAAGAAAUACAAAGACAGGAUGCAAGCUCAGACUAUCCCAAGUACUGGAAGAAGGUGACUGUAGUUACAUCCAGCAAAAGUUGUAUAAGGCACUCCAGGGGAUGAAUAGAGUGGAAGACCUUGCUAUAACUGGCAAUGCUCGUUCAAUUCGGGCAGAGGAAUGGACCACCAUUCUGAUUCGGAACUGUAGUG